rnacentral:rRNA from 1 species
GGGGAAUUUUGCGCAAUGGACGAGAGUCUGACGCAGCAACGCCGCGUGGGUGAUGAAGGUCUUCGGACUGUAAAACCCUGUCGUCAGGGACGAAGGUGGCAGGACUAAUAAUCCUGUUACUUGACGGUACCUGGAGAGGAAGCCCCGGCUAACUCUGUGCCAGCAGCCGCGGUAAUACAGAGGGGGCAAGCGUUAUUCGGAAUUAUUGGGCGUAAAGGGCGCGUAGGCGGUUUUUUAAGUCAGAUGUGUAAGCCCCGGGGUCAACCUGGGAACUGCAUCUGAGACUGGAAGGCUAGAGUACUGGAGAGGGUGGUGGAAUUCCUCGUGUAGCGGUGAAAUGCGUAGAGAUGAGGAGGAACACCAGUGGCGAAGGCGGCCACCUGGACAGUAACUGACGCUGAGGCGCGAAAGUGUGGAUAGCAAAC